GCUGUCACUUAUGGAUGGACCCGCGUCGCAUUAGCUAGUUGGUGAGGUAACGGCUCACCAAGGCAACGAUGCGUAGCCGACCUGAGAGGGUGAUCGGCCACACUGGGACUGAGACACGGCCCAGACUCCUACGGGAGGCAGCAGUAGGGAAUCUUCCGCAAUGGACGAAAGUCUGACGGAGCAACGCCGCGUGAGUGAUGAAGGCUUUCGGGUCGUAAAACUCUGUUGUUAGGGAAGAACAAGUGCUAGUUGAAUAAGCUGGCACCUUGACGGUACCUAACCAGAAAGCCACGGCUAACUACGUGCCAGCAGCCGCGGUAAUACGUAGGUGGCAAGCGUUAUCCGGAAUUAUUGGGCGUAAAGCGCGCGCAGGUGGUUUCUUAAGUCUGAUGUGAAAGCCCACGGCUCAACCGUGGAGGGUCAUUGGAAACUGGGAGACUUGAGUGCAGAAGAGGAAAGUGGAAUUCCAUGUGUAGCGGUGAAAUGCGUA
rnacentral:rRNA from 1 species